rnacentral:rRNA from 1 species
GUACACGCUGUGACUAGCAUAUCAAUAAGCGGAGGAAAAGAAACUAACUAGGAUUCCCUCAGUAACGGCGAGUGAAGCGGGAAGAGCUCAAAUUUGAAAUCUUCAAGGUUCUACCUUGACGAAUUGUAGUUUAAAGAAGUGUUUUCUGUUGGAGUUUUGGUAAAAGUUCUUUGGAAUAGGACAUCAUAGAGGGUGAGAAUCCCGUAUUUGACCAUUAUUUCCAGCUUUGUGAUACACUUUCAAAGAGUCGGAUUGUUUGGGAAUGCAGUCCAAAAUGGGUGGUAAAUUUCAUCUAAAGCUAAAUAUUGGCGAGAGACCGAUAGCGAACAAGUACCGUGAGGGAAAGAUGAAAAGAACUUUGAAAAGAGAGUUAAACAGUACGUGAAAUUGUCAAAAGGGAAGCGUUUGACACCAGUGUUGUUUUCUCGAAAAUCAAUUAAAAAAGGCAGGAUUUUGUGUUGUAUUGACUUUAUCAGCUUUCUGCACUCUUUUCUUGUCUUUUUUAAUGCACUUUUCGUUUAACAAGUCAACAUCAAUUUCUUUUGUUGUAAAAGGGUCAUUGGAAGGUGGCUUUCUUUUCGGAGAAAGUGUUUAUAGCCUUUGGCCUCUGCAAUCGGAGAGAUUGAGGUCUGCAGCGUAGAUCCUUCGGGGUUAGAUACAUUUGUGCUAAGUUAUAGCCUUUCAUAGACAACUUGUUGACUAUGAUCAGUCAUGUAGCUUACUCGCUUAUGCUAUUUUACCUACGCUUAGGAUGUUGAAGACUCUACAGAGAUA